rnacentral:rRNA from 1 species
GAUGAACGCUGGCGGCGUGCCUAAUACAUGCAAGUCGAGCGAACGGACGAGAAGCUUGCUUCUCUGAUGUUAGCGGCGGACGGGUGAGUAACACGUGGAUAACCUACCUAUAAGACUGGGAUAACUUCGGGAAACCGUAGCUAAUACCGGAUAAUAUUUUGAACCGCAUGGUUCAAAAGUGAAAGACGGUCUUGCUGUCACUUAUAGAUGGAUCCGCGCUGCAUUAGCUAGUUGGUAAGGUAACGGCUUACCAAGGCAACGAUGCAUAGCCGACCUGAGAGGGUGAUCGGCCACACUGGAACUGAGGCACGGUCCAGACUCCUACGGGAGGCAGCAGUAGGGAAUCUUCCGCAAUGGGCGAAAGCCUGACGGAGCAACGCCGCGUGAGUGAUGAAGGUCUUCGGAUCGUAAAACUCUGUUAUUAGGGAAGAACAUAUGUGUAAGUAACUGUUCACAUCUUGACGGUACCUAAUCAGAAAGCCACGGCUAACUACGUG